GCCCGGGUAGCUCAGUCCGGCAGAGCAGCUCACUCGUAAUGAGCAGGUCGUCGGUUCGAAUCCGACCUCGGGCU
rnacentral:tRNA from 1 species